CGGUAUGUCAUGCAUUUACCUUUCCUCAUUGUUUUCUUAUAGUCCUUAAUUUUAUAUAUUUAGUUGAUUUCUUUUUUAUGAUGUUUUAUUUACUUAUUUGAUUUUUCUGAGUUAUUCGAUUUUUGUAUGAUUUUGAUUUGUUGAUGUAGAUUUUAUUUUGGGAUUCUUUUCCUUGAAUUGUUGAUCUUAGUUUGAUUUUGCAUUGUGUUCACUGUAAAACUGCCCAUUUUCCUUCAUGAUAUAUUUUAUUUGUGAAAUCAGUUGAUCUGUAUUGGUUUCUGUUAUAUCAAAGCAUAUGUAUGUUUCUUCCACUAUAAACAGCAAAAGAAUAGCCAGUGGAAAACAGCUGAUAUUUAUUGAAUAAUCUUUCCUUGAAGUAUAACAUUACCUUGCAUGUCUAAACAAUUGCCUUAUAGGCUGGCAUUAUCUUUGGACCAGCUGUCCUAAGUUGCAACGAAACAUUCCUGGACUCAGUUUUUUAAGCAAAAGAGAUGUGGGUUCUGAACAACAUUCUUUGUCUUUCUUAUGGCUGUGAAAACACAUUAAUGCUGCGUAAUCGGCACAAUUGUGCAUUGGCCUCAACUGGUGCUUCCAAUUAAUUAUUUAUAAAUUUUGGAGUUCUAGAGUUAAUUAUAACUGUAAUCUUUGACUUUUUUUUUUCAAUUGUUAUGAUCCUUUCCUUUUUUUAACAUUUUUCUAUUUCUUCUUUCUCAGCUGGUUUCAUUUUUGUAUGCAGAUAAAUUUGAUUGUAUUGAUACUUUGUGCAUCCUGCAACAACAGAACUCCAAUUCUGGCUAAGCCUUGAGCAUACUCCACCGUGUUAUCUCCUCCAAAGGGCCUGAUGCACUCUAUAGAGGAAUGGGUGCACUCCCGGCAUCAAUCACCUUUCAGAUAACAAGAUGUUUAAGAUCUGAGAGGAAUGUCAGCAAGGUCAAACCUGGUGUUGCUUAUCCUGUUUUAACAUCAAACACUCCCAAGGAGGUUGUGGUAAGUUGAUUUAAUUCUUCAAUCAGUUUUUGGAUUCCUGUCUUGGAUCAUUGUAUGAUAUUCUUUACAUUCAAAUUUUUCUAACAUUCGAUGAUUACACAAUAUGGAGACUUAAUAUGGUAUCUACUGUUAUUGGGGUGUGGCUGACACUUUAUUUGCUAAUCUUUCCUUUAUGUUUUUAAAUUUUUAUAUGCAUUUCCUAUGGUAGAUAGAUUGAAAUUUUAUAUUGUUCUCUUUAAGUACAGCCUGGUAAAGUAUGUUCACAGCUUGGUUUAUUCAUAAAGCCUGUAGAAGGACAUUAUGAGUACUUCCUCAAACUACUUUAGAUGUAAAAUUUAGAAAGAGAAAAGUAUAUAAGACUACUAUUAGUUGUUGUUGUUAUUACUAUUAAUUUUGUCUUUGUAGUUGUAUUUAUUUUUACAGCUUUUUUGGCUCAUAAAUAUAGCAAUUUAUGAGCAACCAAUUAGAGCUGCAGGCAUGAGAUUAGUAACCUAUCAAUCUUUCAUCUUUUUUAAUCGUACAUGUACAGAUGAAUGAAAACACAGAAGAUGGCAUAGAAGGGAAGAACAUGGAAGGAGCAGCAGUGUAUCUUGGAGCUUAUGAUGAAGAAGAAUCUGCAGCAAGAGCAUAUGAUUUGGCCGCUCUCAAGUACUAGGGAACUUCAACUUCCACAAAUUUUCCGGUAUCUGAAUAUGAGAAAGAAAUUGAAAUAAUGAAAAUUCUAACAAAAGAGGAGUACCUUGCAGUUGAAAAAGGAGAAGCAGUUGUUUCUCCGGAGGGGCAUCCAGAUAUAGAGGAGUUGCGAGGUAAGCAAUAUUCUUUCACAAUUGAUAUUACCUCUAUCAUGUUCAUAACUACAUAUUAAUCUGAGUAAUUGUAACUCUGCACUGCAGGCACCAUCACAAUGGAAGAUAGGAAGCAAGAAUAGGGGGUGUUUGGAAACAAGUAUCUCUAGUUAGGCAUUUACAGUGAAUUUAACUGCCUUAAGCUAUUGAUUAUAUAUUCUAGGUUGGGGCAUAAAAAUUUACUAAAUAAUUAAAAGAAAUAUAAAAAACUGUUGAAAAGAAAUUAAAAUUUAAUAAUAUAGUAAAAAAAAUUAUAUAUUCAACCCGAUUGCAAAUUCAUCUUUUAUGUGUUUUUCCUACAUGGUAUCUUUAGCAUUCACAAUUUUUCACCUUUUCUUUUUCUGGUUACUGGGUUUCUAUCAUAUCCCACUCUGAAGUUUUUUACCCUGUUCUGGCAAUAGAAGGAAAAGGAAUAUAACAGCUUUUAAUUUGCCACAAUUUGAUGUUUUAUUUAAUUUUUUUUUUUUUUAGGUGAGUGAAAUUAUGAAGAAAAAUAAAUUUAUUAUUUUUUAAAAUAUUGUUCUUCCCUGAUAUAUUCAGGUCUUCUUUUAGAAUUUCUUGCAUUCUUUUUAGUCUUUGAUGAUUAAACACUUUUUGGUCCUGUAAUGCUAGAGAAAGAAAAGAAGGGGAACUAUCAUGUAUAAACUUUCUCUGUGAACGUUUGUGUCUACUAUUAUUUUUCAGGAUCUAUUUGAUGUUUCUACGACCUUAAGUUUAUAUGGAGCUGUGUAAUAUUGGAUAUUUAUUUGUCUUUACCUCGAUUUUGUAGGAUGUAUGUGCUUAUGUAAUAAGUUCUUGAAGGGAGAUGGAUUGGUGGACACUGAGGAUGUGAUGAUAUUUAUAGCUUGAGUUUAAUAAACUCAUAUCAACUAUAAAUUCAAUUUUCUAAUUUAGUCCAUGUUUUCGUUUUUGCAAACGGCAUAUAAGUUGUUUUUUAUUUAUAAUUUGAACCAUUUGAGAAGUGAAAGAAAAUCAGUAUUCUGGAUUAUUUCUU
rnacentral:misc_RNA from 1 species